rnacentral:rRNA from 1 species
UACGGAGGGUGCAAGCGUUAUCCGGAUUCACUGGGUUUAAAGGGUGCGUAGGUGGGUCUGUAAGUCCGUGGUGAAAUCUCCGAGCUUAACUUGGAAACUGCCAUGGAUACUAUAGGUCUUGAAUAUUGUGGAGGUCAGCGGAAUAUGUCAUGUAGCGGUGAAAUGCUUAGAUAUGACAUAGAACACCAAUUGCGAAGGCAGCUGGCUACGCAUAUAUUGACACUGAGGCACGAAAGCGUGGGGAUCAAACAGG